UAGAAUACUAGACACGUGGAAACCAGACA
rnacentral:piRNA from 1 species